AACGAACGCUGGCGGCAGGCUUAAUACAUGCAAGUCGAACGAGAAAGCACUUCGGUGCGAGUAGAGUGGCGCACGGGUGAGUAACGCGUGGGAAUGUACCAAGAAGUAAGGGAUAACAGUUGGAAACGACUGCUAAUACCUUAUAGUGACUCCGGUCUAAAGAUUUAUCGCUUCUUGAUCAGCCCGCGUAAGAUUAGUUUGUUGGUGGGGUAAUGGCCUACCAAGACUACGAUCUUUAGCUGGUCUGAGAGGAUGAUCAGCCACACUGGAACUGAGACACGGUCCAGACUCCUACGGGAGGCAGCAGUAGGGAAUAUUGGACAAUGGGGGAAACCCUGAUCCAGCCAUGCCGCGUGAGUGAUGAAGGCCUUAGGGUUGUAAAACUCUUUCAACGGUGAAGAUAAUGACGGUAACCGUAGAAGAAGCCCCGGCUAACUUCG
rnacentral:rRNA from 1 species